UUCGUAGGCAGCGAGCGUUGUUCGGAGUUACUGGGCGUAAAGAGUGCGUAGGCGGUUUUCUAAGUUUGGUGUGAAAUCUCCCGGCUUAACUGGGAGGGUGCGCCGAAGACUGGAAGGCUUGAGUAUGGGAGAGGUAAGCGGAAUUCCUGGUGUAGCGGUGAAAUGCGUAGAUAUCAGGAGGAACACCUGCGGUGUAGACGGCUUACUGGACCAUAACUGACGCUGAGGCACGAAAGCGUGGGUAGCAAACAGG
rnacentral:rRNA from 1 species